GUCCACACCGUAAACGAUGAUUACUAGAUUUUGGCGUUAAGUCAGAGUCCAAGCGAAAGUGUUUAGUAAUCCACCUGGGGAGUACGUCCGCAAGGAUGAAACUCAAAGGAAUUGACGGGGGCCCGCACAAGCGGUGGAGCAUGUGGUUUAAUUCGAUGAUACGCGAGGAACCUUACCUGGGCUUGAAAGUUAGUGACCGCUCCUGAAAGGGAGCUUUCCGCAAGGACACGAAACUAGGUGCUGCAUGGCUGUCGU
rnacentral:rRNA from 1 species